UACGUAGGGUCCGAGCGUUAAUCGGAAUUACUGGGCGUAAAGCGUGCGCAGGCGGUUCGCAAAGACAGGUGUGAAAUCCCCGGGCUCAACCUGGGAACUGCAUCCGAAACUGCCUUGCUAGAGUAUGGGAGAGGGAAGUGGAAUUUCCGGUGUAGCGGUGAAAUGCGUAGAUAUCGGAAGGAACAUCAGUGGCGAAAGCGACUUCCUGGACCAAUACUGACGCUCAGGUGCGAAAGCGUGGGGAGCAAACAGG
rnacentral:rRNA from 1 species